rnacentral:rRNA from 1 species
GAUGAACGCUGGCGGCGUGCCUAAUACAUGCAAGUCGAGCGAAUGGAUUAAGAGCUUGCUCUUAUGAAGUUAGCGGCGGACGGGUGAGUAACACGUGGGUAACCUGCCCAUAAGACUGGGAUAACUCCGGGAAACCGGGGCUAAUACCGGAUAACAUUUUGAACCGCAUGGUUCGAAAUUGAAAGGCGGCUUCGGCUGUCACUUAUGGAUGGACCCGCGUCGCAUUAGCUAGUUGGUGAGGUAACGGCUCACCAAGGCAACGAUGCGUAGCCGACCUGAGAGGGUGAUCGGCCAACCUGGGACUGAGACACGGCCCAGACUCCUACGGGAGGCAGCAGUAGGGAAUCUUCCGCAAUGGACGAAAGUCUGACGGAGCAACGCCGCGUUAGUGAUGAAGGCUUUCGGGUCGUAAAACUCUGUUGUUAGGGAAGAACAAGUGCUAGUUGAAUAAGCUGGCACCUUGACGGUACCUAACCAGAAAGCCACGGCUAACUACGUGCCAGCAGCCGCGGUAA